UCGUUCGGUGUGGUUUCCAUUCCCCGCCCCCCAAAAACGCACAACGCCGUCUCGCGUCACUUUUGCGCGUCUCGGCCGCACUCCUUCCCUCGCCGCCGAUCCCUCUGGGGAUGGAUUGCGAUGACGAGUUCGGAGAUCUCUACGCCGAUGUCCACCGCCCCAUCCCCGCUGCCCCCGAUCCCCUCGUCGCCCUCCCGGGAAGCGACGAUGACGACAACGUUGAAGACCGGAUGCUCGGCCCCACCGGUCCGGCCAAUCCGCCGAACUUGCUGCGAUUCCAUCUGGAACGUCAGCCGACGGCGGCGACGACUGGAUGCUCGGCCGCGCGCCCCCUGCCGUGGAGACGCCGGCGUAUUGGGAUGACGACGACGAUGGACGCCCGUCCAGGUCGGAUGGCGCGCCUAGGGUUUUUCAGAAGGACUUGGAGGGAGAGGUUAGGAUUUCUGGGAUUCCCCGUGGAGAGGUUGAGGCGGUUGGAGAUGCAAAUGAGGGCAGGGAUUCAUUCGUAGGGAGCGAAUGAAUCCCUGGUUUCUCAGGGAUUCUCAGCUGACCUCUCAGGGAUUGUCAGCCGGUCAUCCUUGGCUUCUCAGCUGCAGCAGACCCUCCGGGGCAUCCUUUUGAUGCGGGCGGUGGAGGCAUGGACCGGUCGGGCAGUCAGGGCCGGACAGCGAUAGCGAGAAUGAUCUCCAGAUCCUGCUGAAUGACAACGACCAUCGUCCACUUAAUGGUGUGACAAAUGAUAGUUUCAGAAAGGAGUAUGAGAAUGAUUGCAAGGAUGGAGAGGAUUAUUUAGUUAUUGUCACGGAUGAAGGUCAUUAUCAUCGGCAAGAUUGGGCUGAGGAUGCCAUGCAGCCGAGUAAUGAUGGUGUGAUAAAGGAGAUUGGGAAUGCUGACAAAGUGACAGGUUCUGCUGAAGAGUUCCUGGGGGCUGGGGGGAGGACUGGAUACACCAAUCAUCAGUCGACGCACAAGGAAUAGGCUUAAAAAGAAGAGAUUCUUGGAGUUAGAAGCAACUAGCAAUGCUACCUGCAAUCUGAGUUUGGGUUUGACAUUGCUAUAUUUCACCUUUAUCAACCUUUUUUCUUUCUGAUCUCUUGCUGAAAAUGAAGAGUCAAAGCCCUUCUUUUAAAGACAGAGAGCUCUCUUUAUGUGCCUAGCACAUUAUCAUUAUCUAAGCUUCUAGCUUGUUCAAUUAUUGCUUUAGAUUCUGGCACUUCUAAUUUUCAUCCAAUAUCAACAAGGCUGCAGAAAGUUUACUUAUUUGCCUAUGGUUCUGGGAAGUUCUUGAUUGCUAUCUAGGAAGCAGUGGUUUAAGGUUUGGAGUCCUUCUGGCAUGAGAGAGUUUUUGUUUAUUAUGAUUUGGUGCUUGUGGAGACAUUUUUUAGCUAAUUUUGCCAUUCUUCUAUUGCAAACAGCAUAAUAGACCUGGUACAUCACUGCUGCUUGUGGGUCCUGUUGCUGCCACGGUAAGUUGUGUUGAUGUUGUGCAGCCUCCUCUUGCUUUUGGUUCCAUUGCUGGUCGAGGAAGAGGAGACUGGAAACCUGCUAGCGUUGGGGCUAUUCCAAAUGCCUCCAAACAUAUCCAUUACAGGUUUUUUGGAGUUCCUGCUUGGGCAAAUAGUUCAGUAGCCUGUGCUUUUGGUAGUGGGCUUGACUUUAUGCUUCCUGCACACAAGUAAGCUUGUGGAUGCAAAUUUUCAUUCGAAAUAGAAACUUUUUUAUCUGUUUUAUGCGAUUCCACAGGCUUUGAUUUUGAAAACAAUGUAGCCAAAAAACCAGUGAUUUAUGAUUCAAAAAGUAGUAUAAAUUCUUCUAAACAUACAGUAAUGUGGAUGUUAAAUAUUAAAUUAACAGAAACAGAUGUAGGUAGCAAUGAACAAAGAAAGUGGAGUCAUCUGAUCUGGGAUACUGUGAUCUCAUGGUGUCUAUUGAAUUAGCUAUAUGAACUCAGUUAAAGAUGGUGGGCUUCAGGUUGGCAUGCGGAGAUGCUGGGUACACAGAUGGACCUCAAGGCAUAGAACUAAAGGCAUUAGCUUGUGAUAAUAUUUAUGUGACUAUGAUCAUCUAAUGGAGCUAAAUUCGAUACAUAUAAUCUGUGCAAAAACAAAGUCAUAAUCUCAUCAGGCUAUUUCUGGUAUUGUUGACCAAGCUUUCUUCCUUGUUUCCAGUCUUCAUCACCCACAUAUUUGAAUUUGCUUCUGUACAUUUAAUGAGUACGAUUACUUUUUUCAUUAUUCGUUGAUCUCUACUCAUUACAUUAAUGAAUGAGAGACUAAUGGACCACAAUUUCAGGUCGCCUCAAGGAAGCUUACAUGGAAGACGCUUCACUGAUAGUGAACACUCAAAUGACAUCGUCUUUAGCAGAAGUGUCCACUUAAACAGGUUCGACAACCAAUAGCAGAAAAAGCUGUUUGAUAUCAUUGAAGUUAGCCAGAAUUCUAAAAUAUCACCUUCUGUUGAAGAAGAAACUGCACGACAUCUGAGCACUGAAGGAAAAUAUGAUGAGCCCAGUGGAAUGGUUGCUAGGUGAUGACAAUGAAAUUGAAGGAGACAACAAAAUAUUAGAUCUCCAUGUAUCCAGCGAAACUGUCAACAGUGAUAACAUAAAUCAUCUAGGCAAAGAACAAAAGCUUUGUUCACAAGUUGAGCAAACUGAAACUUGUAUGAGUGAUGUUGAGGAUGAGUUGAGGACCUCACAUAGUGACAACAGUGGAGCAAAAUCCUGAAGCAGUGAGGAUUUGUAGAAGCAGCAUGAAAAUAUUGGAGACACACAACAAGGAUAUUUGGGUCAAACAGAUGAUUUGCAAAGGCCUCAAAGAGAACACAAGUCUCAUCAAAUAGAUGGUGAUGGUCGGGAUGCUAGAGAAGACAUAAACAGAAAACAGUUGGCUUACAGAGGUCGGAAAGAUACUUGUCACUCGUACAGAAAUUAGGAUCCUCUUUCUGCACACCCUGUCGAGAUAGAAGUUUGGAGCGGACAAAGGAUACAGAAGUUUCUGUUGGUGUUUGGUAGAGAAGAGAGGCUAAUUUGCAGAGUCAAAGAGUUAAAGAUAAAGGCGUUAAGUGGGAGAGCAGUGAAGAAAUAAUGUAGAGGCACAAGAGUAAAUUAAGGGCCAGUGUCAGGAAUCUAAGAGAUGAUCUUCACUCAAGAAAAAAUGUGGGUGGUGAAGAAUGGAGAGGGCAUAAUAGAGAUGAAGCCUAGAGAGAGGGAUGAUCUUUUGACAGGUCAUCAUGAAAAUGUAGACUAUGCAUUCAUCAAGAGGAAAAAGGAUGAAGUGAGAGGGAAGACUGACAAGCAAGAUACCAUGCAUGCUUAUAGGGCUAGGGAAGACAAAAGAAAAGAGAAAGGGAUGAAGUCAAAAAUCAUAGAAGAGAAGAUAGUAGUAGUAUGAGGGAUAAAACUGAUGCUGCUAAGCACAAAGAUGAUAGAUGCCAACUCAGGAGAGGGAGGACAGGAAGCUGACUUAAGCAACCUCAUAAAAGUGUACCAAAGCACCACAAAAGAGAAGAGGGUCAGCGUGCAUUGAAGAAUGGACAAGUUUUAGAUGAUACACCAUUGAGUAGGAACCAGAUAGAAGACGGCAGAAUGAGCAGUCUCGGGAAUGAGAUUGUCCAAGAAAUGAAAAAUGUCUUAUGACAUGAGGGACGUGGAGAUCAGUUGGCACCUGAAAAGCCAUUUAGGUGCUUCUACUGUAUAAGGCACACAGAAAAUACAAAGAAGGUUCAAGGUACCGAAGUUUAUGAACACAACAGUUAUGGAGUUGGCAAGAGAAAACCUUAAAACCACAGUGCUCACAGGAACAAGAAGGUGAGCAUGAUGGGCUCAGAUGAGCAAGAAAGCAGCAAUGUGAAGAAUGGUCAUCAACCAAUUCAUGAACAACUAGAGGCUCCUCAACUGCACCUCACUUUGGAACAUGGAGAAAAAGAUCCAGAGCAUCAGGUGUGAGUCUCAACAUAGUUCUAGCCUCUAGGAGAGGGAGAUCCUAAUUAGAGCUUUCGACCUGCCACAAGUAGAGGGGUUUUUGUUCCACUGAAAACAUGUGUGUAUCAUCUGCAUCUUGAAGGCCUAAGGAGAUCAAGACCCUAAUGUAGAUGUUGUCCAGGCAGAUGAAUCAGCUAAAAGCGAAGGUAACUAGAAUGCUGCUGCUUUAGAUGACAAAGAUGCUGAUACAACACUGGUGGAUAAGAGGGUCGAGGAUAGGAAUCUCCACCCUGACAUUGUGACAAAGCAAAUGUUUCAAACUUCCUAUGCCAGGGGAAAGAGAUAUGAAUCUGAGCAGAGAUUUAGAGACUGAAGUCCAGACAUUGCAUUUCUGAUACCGCCAUUGAUACAGAAGUAAAGCCAGAGGGACCUGCUAAAAAAAGAAGUGGACUGGCAGUUGAGCUGAUCAAGGAGGAGCUGUAUGGAAUCUCAUGGGCGAACAGUCUUUCAAGGAGGCAGGUGGAAGACUUGGGGCUUCUGAAACACCCCCCAACCUUCCUGAAUUCUGCUUAUUACAGGCUUCGACCAACGACUAAUCUGGCAUUUGAAGAAGCAUUUGAGCUUCUCUGAGGGAAGCUUCAAGCUGUCAUGGAAUCUAUUACCUGCUUUGAUUUCCUGGUUCUGUAAGCCUCGGUGAAAGCCCAACAACGUGAUCAACUUGGCAAACAUUCUUGACAUGUUUAUAGAAGAAACUACAUGUUUAAAGGUGCACAUCCUCCUAACCAAAACUUGUACCGCAUG